GGCAUGCUCAACACCCGACAUCCCUGACCUUUGUUGGUAUGAUUUCCAGGAUGAACAAUUAGCCCUAGAUCUAUUCCCAUCCCAGUGUGUGCAGUGAGACUGGAAUGAGGUCGAGGCAGAGACAGAAGUAGCCGAGCUACCUCAGAGACCGGGUCGUGAACCCUCUCCACUGGGUAAAAAAAGAAGACGGACGGACAUGUAGACGAGUAAACGAAAACAGAGACAGAACAGAUGGAGGGAAGCACUGAGGGACUUGACCCCAGACAGAUUUGUCCACAGUUUGCCAGUGAACCACUCAGGCGGUCUGUGAUUAAGACGUCCUGCAGACCGCAGCUAUUCAUCAGGAGCUUCAUCUUCAAUAAAACCCGGGUAAUGACUCUCCACCUCUCACUCCCCCUUCUGUCCAUUUGUCAACGUCCUUCCCGCUGUACUUUUACCCCCCAUUUCUGCUGCGAUUUUAUUCUCCCUCUAUUAAACGUGGAAUCACACGAGAGAAGCGUAGGCUGGAGCGUAGGCCGUGGAGAAGGAAGAAUCACAGGAACAAUUAUUGGAAAUGGAAGACGGAGGAGAUUAAAAAGUUGGGACAAGAGAGGACGAACGAUGGGAGGAAGUAAAGGAGAAGGAGCCGAACAGAGAGAGAGAGAGAGAGAGAGCAAUUAAAAUCUACUCAGGGCUAACGCAGGUCGAUCAGCUGGUGUUUGAUCUUCAUGUCUUAGUUUGAAUAAACAUGUUAUUCAGGUCAUGUGACUGUUACAUCACCGGAUUAAUUAGAUACAGGUCCUUCUUAGAUACUGACUCAAGAGACCGUCACCUAGU